rnacentral:lncRNA from 1 species
UUCCAUCUUUGGAAGAGUCUAAAUCAAGAAGAAGGAGGAACCUGAUCAACCAUCAAAGAAGGAUCAGCGCAGUACUAGCAUACUGUGCUGAUUUCCUGAAGCAGGACUUUUGAUCGAGAUUCGUGGGCUCGUGUGGAUGACUCCUAGAGGCUGGAUGCAUGUGCGGCUUGCAACAUCAUCCUCAAGCCCGGAUCAGCGAGGUUAGAACAUCUAACUUGCAAGGUAAUAGAUCUGAUCUAUUGUUUAAUACAUACAUUAGAUGUAGUAUAGAAACAUGUUGAUAUGAUCAACAUGUAGUUCAUGCUAUAUUUAUAUAUUUUAAUUUCUGAUUUAAU